GGCGAACGGGUGAGUAAUGUAUCGGAACGUGCCCAGUCGUGGGGGAUAACGUAGUGAAAAUUACGCUAAUACCGCAUACGAUCUAUGGAUGAAAGCGGGGGAUCGCAAGACCUCGCGCGAUUGGAGCGGCCGAUAUCAGAUUAGGUAGUUGGUGGGGUAAAGGCCCACCAAGCCAACGAUCUGUAGCUGGUCUGAGAGGACGACCAGCCACACUGGAACUGAGACACGGUCCAGACUCCUACGGGAGGCAGCAGUGGGGAAUUUUGGACAAUGGGCGCAAGCCUGAUCCAGCCAUUCCGCGUGCAGGAUGAAGGCCCUCGGGUUGUAAACUGCUUUUGUACAGAACGAAAAGGUUUCUACUAAUAAUAGGAGCUCAUGACGGUACUGUAAGAAUAAGCACCGGCUAACUACGUGCCAGCAGCCGCGGUAAUACGUAGGGUGCAAGCGUUAAUCGGAAUUACUGGGCGUAAAGCGUGCGCAGGCGGUUAUAUAAGUCAGAUGUGAAAUCCCCGGGCUCAACCUGGGAACUGCAUUUGAGACUGUAUAGCUAGAGUACGGCAGAGGGGGAUGGAAUUCCGCGUGUAGCAGUGAAAUGCGUAGAUAUGCGGAGGAACACCGAUGGCGAAGGCAAUCCCCUGGGCCUGUACUGACGCUCAUGCACGAAAGCGUGGGGAGCAAACAGGAUU
rnacentral:rRNA from 1 species